rnacentral:rRNA from 1 species
UGGGGAAUUUUGGACAAUGGGCGAAAGCCUGAUCCAGCCAUGCCGCGUGAGUGAAGAAGGCCUUCGGGUUGUAAAGCUCUUUUAGUCGGAAAGAAAGAGUUGCAAUGAAUAAUUGUGAUUUAUGACGGUACCGACAGAAAAAGCACCGGCUAACUACGUGCCAGCAGCCGCGGUAAUACGUAGGGUGCGAGCGUUAAUCGGAAUUACUGGGCGUAAAGGGUGCACAGGCGGUCUUGCAAGUCAGAUGUGAAAGCCCCGGGCUUAACCUGGGAAUUGCGUUUGAAACUACAAGGCUAGAGUGCAGCAGAGGGGAGUGGAAUUCCAUGUGUAGCAGUGAAAUGCGUAGAGAUGUGGAAGAACACCGAUGGCGAAGGCAGCUCCCUGGGUUGACACUGACGCUCAUGCACGAAAGCGUGGGGAGCAAACA